GGGCUUGACAUCCCACGAACCUGCCCGAGAAGGUGGGGUGCCCGCAAGGGAGCGUGGAGACAGGUGGUGCAUGGCUGUCGUCAGCUCGUGUCGUGAGAUGUUGGGUUAAGUCCCGCAACGAGCGCAACCCUCACCCCUAGUUGCCACCGGGUUAAGCCGAGCACUCAAGGGGAACUGCCAGCGUCAAGCUGGAGGAAGGCGGGGAUGACGUCAAGUCAUCAUGCCCCUUACGCCCUGGGCUACACACGUGCUACAAUGGUCAGUACAAAGGGACGCGAGACUGCGAAGUGGAGCUAAUCCCAAAAAGCUGGUCUAAGUUCAGAUUGCAGUCUGCAACUCGACUGCAUGAAGGAGGAAUCGCUAGUAAUCGCGCAUCAGCCCGGCGCGGUGAAUACGUUCCCGGGCCUUGUACACACCGCCCGUCACACCACGAAAGCUGUCUGUACUCGAAGUCGCUGAG
rnacentral:rRNA from 1 species